UUGAGGUGUGGGUCCUGAUGACGGGGUGCGUCCACCAUUUUGUUGGUAUGCAUAGGGACGUCCAUUGUAAUCCAGAACCCCAUAGACAAACAUUGUAUAAUGCUUUCCUAUUGGGAAAAUCCUUAUGUUAUUGCGGCCAUUGCCGCGCAUGUGCGUUAGGUCUCCCCCACAUAGUGACUUCAGCACCACAGAGGGAGUGGGCCUUGACAGAGGGGGAAGCUAUAGUGCCAG